rnacentral:rRNA from 1 species
UACAGAGGUCCCGAGCGUUGUUCGGAUUCACUGGGCGUAAAGGGUGCGUAGGUGGCAUAGAAAGUUUGAUGUGAAAGCUCAGGGCUUAACCCUGAAAUGGCAUUGAAUACUGCUGUGCUGGAGGUUUGGAGGGGGGGACUGGAAUUCUUGGUGUAGCAGUGAAAUGCGUAGAUAUCAAGAGGAACACCAGUGGCGAAGGCGAGUCCCUGGACAACACCUGACACUGAGGCACGAAAGCUAGGGGAGCAAACGGG